rnacentral:piRNA from 1 species
UGGACCAGAUAGAAGCAAUGUAGUUGGCUCC